CAACAACUCACCUGAACCUUCGGUGCACUCCGUAACGGAUAUCCAACGCACCCUUUUUAGCGACGCGGUCUACCGGUAGAUAGAAACCCCUCGCGCUGUUCAGCUCACGUGCCGACGUCUGUUCCCUCCCCAACUCAGCACACAUCGGUAAUACGUCAUGUUGGCUUCAAAAUGAGCAACAAACUCACACUACAAGUUACUCGUGUCCCCAGUUAAGUAUUCAUAACAUUACUUAAAAGGUCGUCUUUGCCAAGGGUGUAACCAUGGAACCAUGGUUCGGACAUUGGGGGGGUCCGCCGGACGCUGCGGCCCCGCUGAGCGGAGCGAGCGGCCACUCAGAGAGUCCCGGUUUUGUCGGCUCGCCUUUGGCUCAAGUGGUCAGGCGCCGGCUGACAGGCGGAUUCAUCCACUUCCUGUGAGCCGGCUGGACACGACGGACGGGCCAAUGUGCUGCUUCCAAACGUUCGAGAGAAGACGUGGACGAAAAGCGAGUCGGUAGCUGUCGACCUUCUGUUCUCUAAAAGCACACUGUUCGCUCUGUUAAAUGUUAAAGUUAUUAUCCUCACUAUCCAUCUGGAAUAAUAUGAAGACAAACAUGCAGCGCUUGGAUGUAUUACUCACAAACACAAAAAAAUCAUUGUUAUUCAUGUACAGAUCAACACUUCAUGUGUUAUUUCAGAAUUCGAGCAUUUCAGUCCUCUGGUUAUGAAACAAACUCCCCAGAGCGCCUUGGUAGCCAAGUGGUGACGUCGGGCGGUCGGUCGCCACGGUUACAAUAACCACCAUUUGGUUAUGGGGAGGGUAACGAUGAUGGUAAAAAUAACAACGCCGCCUGCUUUGUCCUCGGCCCGUCUACUGACUGCGUCACCUGACAUCCUGCUUUGCUGCAGCCGUUACUACAACAGCAGCUCGGGGGGCUUCGGGGGCUUCGACGCGUCAGUGUCACAUCUGUCGCUUCGGGGCACGGGUCCAAAUUACAGACGUCCCGCACGAAAACAUGUUGGAAGACUAUUUAUGUCACGGCUUUGGAUCCAUUUUAACGUGAAUAACGUAUGUAUAACAAUGGCACAUUCAUUCAUUCGCUUGGAUUACUUGGAGAUAAUGUGGUAAAUAUUCAUAUUUUGGUGUCAAAAGGUGGUUAUUUGACUUCACAGCCCAACUUUUCUCAUUACUAAAUAUUAGAUUCCUUGUGGUAAAUGUUAUAGU
ensembl:lncRNA